CGUGAAGCCCCCCUCAAGAUGAGAUUUCCCAGUAUGUAAGACCCCUUGAAGACGACGAGGUUGAUAGGUUCGGGGUGGAAGCACAGCAAUGUGUGCAGCUGACGAAUACUAAUCGGUCGAGGGCUUAUCCUA
rnacentral:rRNA from 1 species